rnacentral:rRNA from 1 species
UACGUAGGGCGCAAGCGUUGUCCGGAAUUAUUGGGCGUAAAGAGCUCGUAGGCGGUUUGUCGCGUCUGCUGUGAAAACCCGAGGCUCAACCUCGGGCCUGCAGUCGAUACGGGCGGACUGGAGUUCGGCAGGGGAGACUGGAAUUCCUGGUGUAGCGGUGAAAUGCGCAGAUAUCAGGAGGAACACCGGUGGCGAAGGCGGGUCUCUGGGCCGAUACUGACGCUGAGGAGCGAAAGCGUGGGGAGCGAACAGG